rnacentral:lncRNA from 1 species
ACAGAAGGAAUACACAGUUUUAAAGACUAUCAAAUGAUUAGGUAUAUGAUUAUUGACAGUUGAGAUAGUGUAAAGGCACCCAUUAUACUUUUUAUUUUUCAUUUUCUUAUUUAUUUUUUGUCUAGCUGCAGAUAGAGGAUAACAUUAAGAAAAAUUCCCACAUUUAUUUCUACUCCUAAGUAGUAAAAUCCUAUGAGCUGAUUGUCAAAGUGCCAAGUAAAUUUGCCUUCAAUAUGUAUGUCUAAAAACUUGCAUCACCAAAUCU